GUGCGGAGUUUGGCUGCUCAGGGGUUAGCAGCUGAGCCUGCGCGAGUGCGCGGGAAGACGUUCCGCUUUGAAAUGCAGCGGGAUUUGGUGAGUUUCCCGCUGUCUCCGGCGGUGCGGGUGAAGCUGGUGUCUGCGGGGUUCCAGACGGCUGAGGAACUCCUAGAGGUGAAACCCUCCGAGCUUAGCAAAGAGCAUUGCAGAUGGGAACUACUGCAUCCUGAGACAUACAAAUAUGAGGCUGGCGGUGGUCACUUGUUGUGCACAUUACUCUAUGACAUGUCUGGACCUGUACUAUUCACUGAAGAAGAUGGAACAGAAUUUUAAGUUACUGCCCUUACUGAUGGAAAAUACAGAGGUUUCAAUUCGCCUCUAAAGAAUAAGUCUCGUGGACCCAGCCUUAACUGUUUAAGUCAUACCGCGCGCAGACUGUGUCCCCCAAAAUUUGAUGGGCUCUUUUUUCUUCAACAAGUUCUUUUCAAAGAAGAAAUGUGAGACCCUGAAUAAUAAUGAUCACUAACAACUAUUGACUACUUUAGAUGGUCUUGAUACUCUACCAAGCUUUUUACAUGUAUCGUCUCAUUCCCAUUUUAUAGACGAAAAAAAUCUGAGCAAAAAAGAAAAAGUGAAGUAAUUUGCCCAAAGUCACGCAGUAAGUGGUGCCAGGAUUUACAAACCCAGGCAAUCUAAUUCCAGCAUUCAGGCUCUUGAUAGGAUUUUCAUUUCCUAAAUGCUGUCAUCACCAUUGUCUUUUAUUAGCCCCAUAUUUAUGGCUCAUAUUCUUAUCAGAUCAAGCACUGAUAUAUCAAACUGAUAAGUGAUGUCAUCCUCACCAUUAUUUCUUCACCAGCUUGUUUUGUAAUUGCCAUUUUCUUUUCUCAGGCCACACUGUCAGAUGGGUGAAAUUGUGUAGUCGAGGAAGCAUAAAUGUAUUCUUUAAAAUGCUGGUGCCUUGAAUAAUUGUUCUCAUUAGUUUGGAGUGAUACAUGAAUUUUUUACAUCAGUUAUUUCCAUGAAAAGUUUUUAUUAUAAAUAAUACAUGCAUAUGUGCUUCUUAAAGUUGUACCUUGUUUUAAGCAGUUAAAACAUCUAUUUUCAUUCUCAUCUGAAAAAUAAUUUGUAUACCUUAUGAGAGCGAGAUAAUUAUGGCUUCAUAAGACCAAAAGGGAUAGUAAAAAUAUGGUAAUAGUGAGUACAUUUUUAUUUCUGCUUCCUGAGACACUUGUAGGUACUCAGAAAUGCUUUAGUUGAAUUGUUUCUGAGGUAAUAGGUAAUUCUUUAUGUGAUGACUAAGAAAACAAAUACCUUUAUUAAGCUGAAUUUUUUUUUUUUUUUUUUUUUUUUUUUUUGAGACAGAGUCUCGCACUGUCAUCCAGGCUGGAAUGCAGUGGUGCGAUCCAGGCUGGAGUGCAGUGGUGCAGGUUCAAGUGAUUGUCCUGCCUCAGCCUCCCAAGUAGCUGGAAUUAUAACGCGUGCCACCAUGCCCGGCUAAUUUUUGUAUUUUUAGUAGAGAUGGAGUUUCACCAUGUUGGCCAGGCUGGUCUUCAACUCCUGACCUCAGGUGAUCUGGCUGCCUCAGCCUCCCAAAGUACUGGGAUUUUAGGCAUGAGCCACUGUGUCCGGCCAAACUGAAAAAUUAAAUGGUUGAUAGAAUGUUGCAUUUUUAUGUUUCUCCACUCCUAGCAUCACUGUUGUCUACAAAUUAAUAAAGACAAUCGAUUAUCAUGUUAC
rnacentral:sRNA from 1 species